rnacentral:lncRNA from 1 species
CCUCUCUGAGCAUUGCACUAACUCCUUCUACCUCCUUUAAGUCUGUGGUUAAUUGCCACCACUUCAGAAAGGCCUAAUCUCUUACUGAAUGUUCCUUGGAUGGGCCUCAGUUUCCCCAUCUGUAGAUGGAGGAAGCAAAACCACAGGAUCUCUCUGAGAGCUUUCUAGUCUGACAUGCUACAGUUCUGACAUAUAGCUUUUAGGUAUGUAAGAAGGCAUUGAAUGACAAACAGCAGGUGAGUGAAACACAGUUCUAGAGUGUUCUAAGGGCAAAUGACCACUUCCAGCUGCCAGAAUCAGAAGACGCUUAAUGGAGGAGUUGGCUCCUAAAGAACACAGAUGGUUCUUGCCAUGUUGUGCUGGCUGGACUCGAACUCCUGGAUUCAAGCAAUCCUCCUGCGGACUCAGAUGAUCCUUCUGCCUCAGCUUCCUGAGUAGCUGGGGUAAAGCUUAUAAAGUAAAAACUUUGAUAUCCCCAGCAGAAUCAUAACUUUUCACAGAGGCAUCUAAUUUCUUAACCUUAAAGCAGAAGAGAAACGUCUUUCAAAUUUUCCUAUGACGGUCAAGGAGUGGGGGUUGUGGAAUGUAUAUACUUAGAUGAAUUAAACUCAGACCUUCUCCGGUUGGAUGUUUGAGCCGCCCAGACAAAGAUGAAGAUUAACACAGUUUAAGGAUGAAAUAUAGACCAUCCUGUGCAAAACCACCGUGUUGCAGUUUAAUUAAAAGAAUUCAUUAAAGUGGUGCCCCAUCCAGGGUAA